UACGUAGGGUGCGAGCGUUGUCCGGAAUUAUUGGGCGUAAAGGGCUCGUAGGCGGUUUGUCGCGUCGGGAGUGAAAUCCACUGGCUUAACUGGUGGCUUGCUUUCGAUACGGGCAGACUGGAGGUAUGCAGGGGAGAACGGAAUUCCUGGUGUAGCGGUGAAAUGCGCAGAUAUCAGGAGGAACACCGGUGGCGAAGGCGGGUCUCUGGGCCGAUAUUGACGCUGAGGAGCGAAAGCGUGGGGAGCGAACAGG
rnacentral:rRNA from 1 species